AAAAGAUUUCUAUUUUUUGCGGAUUGAGUUGUACAUCUUAUAGGUCACAUUAAUGGUGGAAAAAGUUUUGAAAUUAUUUCUUGGUCUUGUUUUUUUAGGUCACAAAAACGUGGAAUCCGAACAAGGGUGUACACCUUCCAUGUCCACUGUACAGAUGCCUUGUUCACUUUCCACAUUCAUGGUGAGCUAAACAAAAUGCUCUCCAGCAGCAAGAAUUCUCUCCCACAGUUUGAGAGGGAUAGCAGAGACAUGGUCAAUCGCUACCAACUCCUCUUCAACCAAGACCACUAAUGUGUUCGGAUCCCCUGGGCAAGUGACAUGACAAGUGAUAAUAGGAAUUAAAUGCAGUUAAUUUGCAGACAAAAUAAAUACUAAUACGGAUGAAUGGUUGACUCAGUUGAAGACAAGUUUAUUAUUAAACACUCUCUUAGCAAAACUGUCUGUCAUGAUCAUGUAUGAAAUCU